CAACCACUCAAGGGACCAGCGGAAAAAAAACUCUUUACCGGAGCAGAGAGGAACAGAAUUUUCCUGAAUACAUUUUUGGUGAUAUUUUAGGAGAGGUUUAUUAAACAAAAAGGGUUGAUUGUUCUAGUUUCUUCUCGCUAUAUCCCAAUAUUAGGAUGAUGCCUUUAAUACACUGGGUGUUAACAUAAUCAGGGUUUCUUUUCUUUCCAAAAGGAUACUAGGGAUCUUUUGUCUCGUAACAGAGAUUGUUAUUAAAAAGUCUCAAUUAGUGCAAAUGGUGGUGAUGGUCUUGCGAAAUGAACUAUUGUUUAUCAGAAGCUGAGCAGUUGUCCUUCCAUGCCCAGCCCAUGUCCAGUGGUAAAAAUUUUUAAUGAAAGGGCAACAUUAUUCAGGAAUCCUGCUCUAAGGUAUUAUAACCACCCCACUCUUUUCUCUUUUGUGUAUUGUUGCCCUUUUUUUCCUGAACUCAGGCUGUUUCUGUGAUUUGGUUUAUGCUGUGGGUCUGCAAAGAGUUGAACCAGCAAUGCUACAGGAGCUGUAAGUUGUGGCAGCGACGCAGAGUGAGCCAAGGAACCAGGUAACGUCCUGGUUUGAUUCGUGGUGAUGGAAACCAGACAUGGAUGACCAGCUCAUGUAAAGGUAACAAAGAUUUUCAGAGACCAGGGUCUACUUGAAGAUCGUCUUUUGAAUUAAAACUAAUCAGGGGCUUCCUUUGAUGGCCCUUUUGUGUCUGGAUGAGAAAGAUACAAGAGAACUCAUUUUAAUUACUUUUUAAUUUUAGUGGAUGAUGUCAGAACAUCAUCAUGACUUAUGCACAUUUCUUUUGAGAAGAUAAAAGAAUUGUUUGAUUAGUAAAUGUAAAAGAUCUAUAGUUUCCUGCUGUUUUUUCACUGCUAAAGAUCUGGUAGAUAUUAAGAUCCAGGUUAUUAAAACCAGUUUAUGACAUUUUCUUAGGUGAGACACUCGUUUGAAUGUCUGCUGUUGAAACAUGAAUGCAUCUGGUAUUAAAAUCAGAGUGAUAUUAAAAAGUAUGGCUGAUCAUGGCAUGUAA